GAAAUUUGAGGUUUUGAUGACUGCCCAUGCUAUUGUCAGAAGCUGCGGUUCUUUUCAUCAGCCUGAACCUGGACCUGCCGCUAUGGAUAACUCAGGUUUUUUUUUUUUUUUUAAUCAACUGCCAUCUUUUCCACUGUUUAGAAACUCUUAAGAUUAAACUUUAGUAAAGUUGUUUUAGUUAUCCAUGUAAUCAGGCUGAGGAUACUUAGCUGCCUAUUUAGGCAAAUGUCAGAAUUUAGUUUGUUCGCUGGGAACUGGUGUGGACUGGCAAAGGAUGAUGAGAUAGUUUUUUGAGUGAGUAAAUUUUGGGAGCUUGAGUGUAUUGGGAUUUGCAAUUACAAUCAUCGUCUGCCUCAGGUGAUUUCUUCUCCUGCUCUGUCAUUGUUUGUUCUCUAAUUCAAAAGCAUAAAAUAUUUCAAUCAAUUUUUAUGCCAGGAAUAUGCAAAAGUUUCUAAUAUUUUAUUUCCAUCUGUUACAAGAUCAAACUGAAGCAGAACUCAAACAAAAGUAUGCUACUUCUUGCGGAAAUCUUGCCUUUGUUCAGAUUAUGAAACCAUUUCCAUGCAGCAAAUUCAUCCAAAAGUUUGAAUAAGUUUCAUGGUUGGACACUGUUGGCUUCUUUUUCUUCUGGGGUGCAUUUAGGUGCUAUCAAGUGACAGCUGUAAGUAUGAUUGCACUAAGCUGCCGCUGGGAAAUUUGAGGUUUUGAUGGCUGCCCAUGUUAUUUUCAAGAAACUAUUGAUGUAAGAAGCUGUGGUUCUUUUCAUCAGCUUGAACCUGAAACUGUCGCUAUGGAUAACUCAGGUUUUUGUUAUCAACUAUAUCAUCUUUUUCACUAUUUUGAAACUCUUAAGAUUAAACUUUAGUAAAGUUGUUUCAGCUAUUCAAAUGAAAAACUCAUUGAUUUGAGACUUCCUUCAUUAUUGUUUCUAAUUACAAUGCUAACGAUCCAGAUAAAAUAAUAUUUAAUCGGCGAAGGUGUCCCUUGGAAGUACAUCCUUCUUUUUCUUUUAUUAUAUAAAUUCUUGCAAUGAGCUUAGUGAAGCUGUUGUGCUAAUCAUGCCACUGCAUAAUUUGGCCCCUAAUGUGGGUACUCUGUUACAUUGUUCUGCAAAUUCUCCAGAAGUUAAAAUCAAUAAAUUUUCUAUUAGCUCUAGUGCUUUGACCUAAAUGCCAUUCUAUAUUUUGAUUACAAUGUUUUAACCUUUAAAUUAACUACCCCUAGAUGUUGGAUUUUCUAGAACUUCAAAAUGAUUAAUGGAGAAAGAUCCCAUUAUCGUUAUUGCUAUAAGAAAUUGAUUUAUGCAUCCAAAGAUACAUUAUAUAUUUCUGUGUCUCUAUUUGUAGAUGACAUUUAAGCAUCCAUAAACCGUCAGACAGAGGAAGGGGGUUCAGUGCAAAGAUUCUGUUGACCUAGGGUUGACUGCAUAAUGUCACUUGUUCGCAAUCUAUUAUUUAUUUUAUAUUUUGAAGAAUUUAAUGGGUAAUCCUAAUUGUUUGUUUUGGCAGGUAUGUGUUGUUAUCUCCUUCUAUCUAACAGUCGUACCUAAAUAGCAUAGUUUCAUCUGUGUUACCAUGUGAUGUACAUAAUUUCACAUUUGCCUCAGAUUAAGCUUAAUUUCCCACAGAAUAGAGCUGUCGCGACUGGACUUAGGUUGAUGUCCAAAGAGGUAAAUUAUUGGCAUGCCUAGAUAAUUUGGCCAUUUCCUAAUUCAUAAGUCUACAUUAAUUUUGAUUUUGAGUUGACUGAUUUCUUUUCAAGGUCUGCUUCCUUAACGGAGUGACCAAUGUUUUUCAACUAAAUUUAUCAUAUGAUGCAGGAAGCAGGGCAGGAUAUGAAAUGAGAAGCUCAUUGGUGGAAGUAUUGCCAGUAACAGAACCCAAAGAAAAUGAAACUAUUUCAAGGCAGCAGUUGGCAGUUGCAAGUGAAUGGAGGCCCUGACAAAAUUCUCAAGCGGUUGCAAUGCAAUUACGAUCAUCCUCAGCCUCAGGUAAUUUCUUCUCCUGCUCUGUUUUUAUUUGUUAUCUAAUUAAAAAGCAUAAAGUAUCUUGAAUCACUUUCUGUAUCUGGAACAUAUGCAGCAGUUUCUAAAAUCUUCAUAUGAGUGUAAUGAUGGUAAUUUCUGUUUUUUGUCUGUCAUUGAAUGUUAGACAACUUUCAGUGAGACUCUUGAACCGAGACAUUUUUGACAAAUGAAGGACAAUUGCUGAAGAGUGGGAAUGGUGCUAGAUUGGGGAAUAAAGACAAAGGAGGUAAAUUAUUUGCAGUUUAUUCAGCAUUAUUUGCUUUGGACCAGCGCCUGAUUCACAAGUCUCCAUAAUUUGGCUUUUGACCAGUUGUUAAUAAAUUUUUUAUUCCAUUGGUGCUAAAUGUACACGUGAAGCAGGCAGAGCAGGACUGUGGAAAUGAGAAGGUUUUUAGUGAAAGCUUAAACUCAGGUAAUUCUAAAAAGUACAUGUUUUUGCUGAUUUAUCUAAAUCAGGAAAUUUUAUUUCCAUCUGUUACAAGAUAAAACAGAAACAGAACACAAAGAAAAAUAUUCUACUUCUUGUGGCAAUCUUGCCUUCAUUCAGACAAUGAAACCAUUUCCUUUCACCAAUUUCUUCCAAAAGUUUGAAUAAGUUUCAUGGUUGGACAUAGUUAGCUUCUUUUUCUUUUGGUGCAUUUAGGUCCUAUCAAGUGACAGCCAUAAGUAUGAUUGCAUUAUUGGGAAAUUUUAGGUUUUGAUGGCUCCCCACGUUAUUGCCAAGAAAGUCCUCAUGUCAAAAGCUGCGGUUCUUUUCAUCAGCCUGAACCCGAACCUGUCGUUAUGGAUAACUCAGGUUUUUGUCAUCAACUAUAUCAUCUUUUUUACUGUUUUGAAACUCUUAAGAUUAAACUUCAGUAAAGUUGUUUCAGUUAUCCAUGUAAUCAGGCCAAGGAUAUUUAGCAGCUUAUUUAGGCAACUGCCAGAAUUCAGUUUGUUUGCUCGAAACUUGUAUGGUGACAAGGAUACUGGCAAGGAUAGUGAGAUAGUUUUUUGUGUGAGUGAAAUUUGAAAGCUUGGGUGUUCUGGGAUUUGCAAUUGCAAUCAUCCUCUGAGUCAGGUGAUUUCUUCUCCUGCUCUGUCUUGAUUUUCUCUCUAAUUGAAAGCAUAAAGUAUUUCAAUCAAAUUCUGUACCAGGAGUACAUAAAAGUUACUAAUAUUUUAUUUCCAUCUGUUUGCAUUGAUAACUCGGCAUAUGUUCUAGUUAAAGAACAAACAGAAACAGAGUUCAGGAAAAAGUUUCUUCGGCCACCAUAUUUGAAAAUGAAACCAUUUCCAGGAAGCAGUUGGCAGCAAAUUCAUAUGGAGUGUAGACAAUGAUGAGCAAAAAGGUGAUUCGCAAUUUCUUUUUUUUUUAAGUGAAAUUAUUUGUUAGAUUGAAGCUGAUAUUGUAAGAAGGCCAUUGAGCUAACCUAUGUCGUCACUUGCCUAGAUUGCAGGGGGUCAAGACUCAAAAGAAGCACUGAAAUUUAAAAAGCAUGGAAUAGUUCUUUUGCCAUGUGUCAAUUAAUGCAAGUUUGAAUAAGUUUAUUGGCUGAACGAUGUUAGCUUCUUUUCCUUUCGUGCACUUUGGUAUGCUAUCAAGUGACAGCCGUAUGUAUGGCUUGCAUAUAGCUGCUGCUGGGAAAAUUGACGAUUUCAUGGCUGGCCGUGUUAUUGUCUUAAAUUAGUUGUGAUAAGCUGUUGCUUGGAGAUUCUGUUGCCAAGACUUUGCUCACAUCAGAAGCUGUGGAAUCUGAACCCUUCGUUAUGUAUCAUCUUUUUCAUUGUUUUAAAACUCUCAGGAUUAAACUUGAGCGAAUUUGUUCGGUUGUCUAUAUAAUCAUGUAUUGAGUAAACUCUCAGGAUACUGAGGGUGAGAGAAAUUAGAGGGUGUAUAGGGAUUUGGAUUUGUUAGGAAGUUAUCAUUUUUAUUUUUAUUUUUAUUUUUUUCCCAGAAAAUCUUCUGGUGGUGCUAUAUUUUCAAACGACAGUCCGAUUCAAAACUUGAUAUUCCAAUUAUAUUCAUAAGCUUCUACAGUUAUCUUCAAAAAGACAAAUGGAAGGCUUUGAACGGCUUGGGUCUGAGUAUUGUAGUUUGAUUUAUUUUGAUGAAAGUACCUUUUGACAUUGAGAUUCUUUCAUGAGUUAAACAUUCUUUUUAAAACCAACUUAUUAAAAAAAAAAAGUAACUAACAUAUAUUAUUUUGUUAGUGCUUUUUAAAUCAAAUAUAAAAAAGAGAACUGUAAUUCUUAGCAACCAAUUUUUCACUGAGUACACCUACAACAAACUAUUAAAAAAUAAAGUGAUAGAAAAUGCCUGAUUUUUCGUACUUUCUAAUUACUUUUGGUCCUAAAAUAUGGCAAUUUGUGUAAUAAUAAGCCCAUGUAUAUCUUUAUGCCAUUAGUUUGAUAAAUAGCUAUCAAGGAUAACUUAUUAAGCUAAAAAUAUUUGAAGGAUAAAUUGAUUUAUGCAUCCAAAGAUACAUUAUAUAUUUCUGUGUCUCUAUUUAUAGAUGACAUUUAAGCAUCCAUAAACCGUCAGACAGAGGAAGGGGGUUCAGUGCAAAGAUUCUGUUGACCUAGGGUUGACUGCAUAAUGUCACUUGUUCGCAAUCUAUUAUUUAUUUUAUAUUUUGAAGAAUUUAAUGGGUAAUCCUAAUUGUUUGUUUUGGCAGGUAUGUGUUGUUAUCUCCUUCUAUCUAACAGUCGUACCUAAAUAGCAUAGUUUCAUCUGUGUUACCAUGUGAUGUACAUAAUUUCACAUUUGCCUCAGAUUAAGCUUAAUUUCCCACAGAAUAGAGCUGUCGUGACUGGACUUAGGUUGAUGUCCAAAGAGGUAAAUUAUUGGCAUGCCUAGAUAAUUUGGCCAUUUCCUAAUUCAUAAGUCUACAUUAAUUUUGAUUUUGAGUUGACUGAUUUCUUUUCAAGGUCUGCUUCCUUAACGGAGUGACCAAUGUUUUUCAACUAAAUUUAUCAUAUGAUGCAG
rnacentral:lncRNA from 1 species